AUUGAACGCUGGCGGCAGGCCUAACACAUGCAAGUCGAGCGGAUGAAGGGAGCUUGCUCCUGGAUUCAGCGGCGGACGGGUGAGUAAUGCCUAGGAAUCUGCCUGGUAGUGGGGGAUAACGUCCGGAAACGGGCGCUAAUACCGCAUACGUCCUGAGGGAGAAAGUGGGGGAUCUUCGGACCUCACGCUAUCAGAUGAGCCUAGGUCGGAGUAGCUAGUUGGUGGGGUAAAGGCCUACCAAGGCGACGAUCCGUAACUGGUCUGAGAGGAUGAUCAGUCACACUGGAACUUGGACACGGUCCAGACGCCUACGGGAGGCAGCAGUGGGGAAUAUUGGACAAUGGGCGAAAGCCUGGUCCAGCCAUGCCGCGUGUGUGAAGAAGGUCUUCGGAUUGUAAAGCACUUUAAGUUGGGAGGAAGGGCAGUAAGUUAAUACCUUGCUGUUUUGACGUUACCAACAGAAUAAGCACCGGCUAACUUCGUG
rnacentral:rRNA from 1 species